rnacentral:rRNA from 1 species
ACUCGAGUGGCGAACGGGUGAGUAACACGUGGGUGAUCUGCCCUGCACUUCGGGAUAAGCCUGGGAAACUGGGUCUAAUACCGGAUAGGAGCCAUUUUUAGUGUGAUGGUUGGAAGGUUUUUUCGGUGUAGGAUGAGCUCGCGGCCUAUCAGCUUGUUGGUGGGGUGAUGGCCUACCAAGGCGACGACGGGUAGCCGGCCUGAGAGGGUGAUCGGCCACAUUGGGACUGAGAUACGGCCCAG